GACUUCUUCAUAUGUAUUUAAACAUGGAGUUCUUUUGUCAAUUUCUGUGCUUUGUAGCAGGUACUUUUGGAAAUGCUGAUCCAGUUGUACCCUUUCAUCUUGCAGCCGGAGACUCAGCAGAGGGGCAGAGACUCAGAAGCAGUCUCCAGCUGCGACCCACAGACAUGCGUGAAAAAGCCA
rnacentral:lncRNA from 1 species